UAGGGCCGAAUUCUUAAGUUAACUGAUCAUGACCUGGUGAAUGUAAAAUGUACUGUAUGGUAGUCUAAUGUGUUUCUAUGGAUAUCCCAUGAAUUUAGAGAAAUAAUCGUUCCGAAAAAAUGUCAGAAAGUACUUUUUCUCACAGAUGUUUAUCACAUGGGUUACUAUCUCUCUCUGAGAUUGUCACAGCACUGACAUAGGAUAAUUUCAAGAUCAGGGUAGACAAGUAUAUGGCGAUAAAGUAUUCACAGUACUUCCAGAAAGGACAUGGGUUUGUGAAAAUAUGCUGUGGCUUUCAGAUGCAGCGACCAUCUUCAGCCCUGGAAGGAUAAUGUAAAUGAAAUGUAAAUAUUUUUUUAUAUUUGCAGCAGUAUGUCUGACAAACUUAAAGAAUUUCUUUUGAAGAGAGGAAUUGGGCCGGCUGUACUACAAAAACUUGUCGCUGAUAAGAUUGACUGCAGUGUCAUGCUGUUAAUGGAUGACAAUACGUUGAAAUCAUACUUGCCUGCGUAUGGUGAUAGUGUCGGCAAUUGCUUUCUGCAGGUCUCAAACUGAAGGUGAUCAGUGCUCAAAUGCAUUGAAUGAAUUACGUGGGAAAUAAAAAAAAAGAGCGAUCUACUCUCUGCAGCUGUGGUUUCAAGGCUGGAAAUGCUUAUGCGGAAAGGACCAUAAGAAGAUUGGAGCUAGGAUGGAUGGAUUACAGCAACCAAUCCAUGUGUUAUAAGCAAGUGAGGCAACGAUGAGGAGGUUGUGUCUGCCAUCUCACGGUUGAGAAAACACUUUCUUUAAAGGCAGACCUUAACCAUGCUUUAGAUGCAUUCUUUCUAUUCGGCGUUUUCCAACGAGGUAUUCUACAAGAGUUUGAAACAGAACUGAAAGACUUCCAAGGCAUGUGUGUCAAUAUAGAAAAGACAAUCAACGAACUCUGUAUUGAGUCAAAAUUAAAGAUACUUCGGGUAUAUUUAUAUACCAAAAAGAAGACUGAAAAGGUAGGAGAAGAGGUGCACACUGCGACCAACAAGCCGUCCAGUACAAUGGAAGAGGUGGCACCAGAGGUUCAGAUCGUGACCACGGCGCCGAUUGCUGUUCUUGACGCAACUCUUCUUGCAUCCAAUGAGUGCAUGGUUGGAACAUAGUGGUGUGAAAUGGAACUUUAGUCUUCGUCAGAUGAGCUUGACCAGCACACUGUAGUGUCAUUGCCAGACUUGCAGGACUGGUCACCUCCCUCGUCUGGUAUACAGUGCGAGUCACACAGAUCAGAGACACCCCAAGCGCCGACAGGUAAUAGUGUUAACUCUUGUUUAACUGUAUCACAGUUGUCCCAAAAUUGGGUUUAGAAAUGGUCCAGUUGUAGAUUUUGUACAGUUGCUUCAAGUAAUGUCUGUUUUUAGGGUCAUAGAACUUUGUUUGAUAACUUCAGGUGGAAUAUUAACAUUAAAGCGCUUAUCUUUUCUGCAAAUUCUUGCUCUGGGUUGAUGUUUAUCUUCAUUUUCCAUGCUUGUGUAGCAUUAAAACUAAACAGUAACUUUCUGUGUCAUCUUAGCCUUCUAGGCCACCACCAAUGCAAUGUUUGAUAACUCUUCCUGGAUUAGCACAAGAUGUUCACCCAUUAACAAUGCUGUGUAAUUGAGACGUUGAUGGAUUAUCCACGAGGACAAGAGUAAUUU